AGCAAAGAGGGCCCUUUAUUUGAAAACAGGAAAUAGAGAAGGAAAGAGUGUCGUGGGAUUAAGGAUGGGAAAUCGGGGCCAUUGGGCAUAUGUGAAGUCUUUACACGAGGCUGCAUUUCUCAUUUUAUAUAUAUAUAUAUAUAUAUGGAAAAAAUUUUCCAACGCCUAUAGGCAUUAAGGAACAAUAUUUUGGCCCCCUUCCCCCCCUAUAUCCACCGUGUGUUAAAUUAAUUCAAAACGUAAGGCCAUGAUUUAUUUUUAAAACCUCCUACCCCCGCGCGCGAAGGAGCCAUUCAUUGAAAACCUUCAAACCUCACCUAAUAUCAGUCGUACCCCAUUUCCUCCUGCAUGCUCCAUCUCUCUCUCUAGAAUCAAAGGUUUUCUCUGCGAAGCUCCCCUUUUCUCGCUCGUCCUCAUCACUGAGAAGCUCCCCCUCUCUCGCUCGCCUUCAUCUCUGAGUAGUUGUGGCUCGCUCUCGUCUCUGAGCAGCUGUGGCUCGCCCUCGUCUCUGAGUAGCUGUGGCUGUUGGCAUCUAGAGAAACACACUUAGAAACAUUGGAUUCAAGAUUAGGGCACCGAAAUUGGUGCGAGCAAGGAUCGAAGCCACAGUCCUCAAAUUCCUCCAUCUAUUGGCUUCUUCGACUCCGACAGUCGCCGAUCUUCGACUGGUCAGCCUCUUCUUCUUUCUUUCUCUAUGCCUUUCACUCACUUUUCCUCAAUUUUUUAAUGGCAUCCAUUGAGUUGAGUUUUAUUUCCCUACUUGUUGGAUGCUUAUUUGGAGCAUUUCCUUUCUCCUGCUGUAAAUGAAUUGGAUGUCACUUCCACGUGCUCUACUCAUUCACGGUCGUAGUUUUGGCUUUCUAAUUAUAGUAUUACAAUUUCUCUGAUUUUGCUUUAGAUUGUGUAAUAGACAGGUGAUAAUUUCUAGUUUCUGCAUAAUCUUAUUUUGAUUUUGGAAAUUUUUUGUUUUGGUAUUCUAAUUCAUACUUCUUCCUAUCAGAAAAUGAAGAAAAGAAGAAAAUUGUGUUUUCUUUGAACUGUAUUGUUUGUUAAUUUCGGUGAAUAUAUGGAAAGUUCUAAUCUAUGGCCAUGAUUUAAUUCUUUCCGUGAGUGAGCUAAUGGAACUGGAACUCUAGCUUAUUUUGUUUGAUGCAUGAUAAUAUAGGGAAUUCGUUGGACAUAAACUGACAUCUUGGGCAGGUAUAAAGGCCUCUUCACAUAUUAUAAAUAAUUAAGUGAAUUUUUUUCCAUUUUUAAGCUCUUCUAUUAAAUUUUCUGAGAAAGUAAAUCAAUGAAAGUACAUCCUAUUCAGAGCUUUCAAUUGUGCCUUAUUGUUUUGAGAAAUUUGGAUGUAACAAUUUAUGGGAUUAGAAGCUAAGCCAAAAUGACAGUACUACCGUGUGAGUCUAAAGUUUGAACAAAAAUUUUAGCAUGUCAAGUUUCCAUGAAGGAGUUUUAACCCUCAAGCAAACUAAACUGAGCUACCUACAAAAGAAUAAAUCUCUCAUUUUCUCUGUCUUUGUACAGAUGUUUGUUUUGAUACUAAUGAUAAUGAGAAAAUGACAGUGACAACAUUACUUAAAUAGUGUAUCCCACAUGCCUGUCUAUUGAACUGCCCUGGUUUUCUUGAAUAUCACUUAUUCUUCAAAAAUGCUAUACAUGCCCUUAAUUUUGAAUUCUUUUGAGAAAGAGCUGCCACAUUUGAUGGGAUUUGAGUCUAAGCAUAUUAUCUAUCAAACAUGGUAGUGAUAUUAAGUACUUCUGAAUGGUUUGUUUGUAUGAUUGUUUGUAGAGUUAUGUUUUUUUAUUUUCUUAUGAUAUUUGUAAUAGUUGUGAAGGGUGUCUUGAUCAUUGUACUUAUGAGUAAUGCACGGUAUGCAAGUAUCUCUGACGAAUAAAAGAUAAAUAGCAGUUAUAUAGAGUUUGUGGAGAACAUGAUGGGGUAAGAUGCAUCUUAUGCUCUCUCCGCCAAACUAAACUGUAACUUUAAUGCAUUAAUAUAGGGAAAUCACUGAAACACGUUAUAUUCGUAACUUUCUAAGCUGUUGAUUGUAGAAUGUGUUUUGGAAGGAUAGUCAUGAAAAAGAAAGGGCAAUUCUUUGCUCUGUUUUUUUUUUUUGUGGUAAUUGUUCAUUAUCUUUUUUGUUUCCUUGGACUUGGGUGGUUUGGAAUUUAAACAUGCAUUCAUGGGUGUUGGACUAAAAGUUGCAGAAUAGUCCAAAGUCCAAACAAUUUACAUGAGUGGUUUUAUCCUUGUGACUGUGUGAUCUUCACUCUCUUAAUUUGCUCGGUUAUUUUUUUGAUGAAUAGAUUUUUUUUUUCUUCAUUAAUAAGCAGGGUUUAAGUUCCAUUUUUGCUGUUAUUCUGAGAGGUUUCUCUGCAUAUUAUCUAUCCUUCAUCCCAAUCCCACCCGCCAAUUUUUUUUUUCUUUAUUUUCAUCUUCUUGGGCUGCUUCAUAAUUUAUAAAAUGGAAGAGAAGCAGAGAUUCAGCCUCAUUCUUAUGUUGCAGGGCAUAUUCCAGCUUUGAUCCAUUUGGAUACACAAUCAGAGUUGAGGAAUGGAGUUACCAUUUUGACACUCCUAUUUCUAGUGCUCUUUUGAUUUGCUCUUUUGAUUAUAGUGCUUUUUAUCUUACCUGGAGUUACUGCUACUGAGGCUCGGCACCUUUUACUGAUUUUAGUGUCAAAAUCUUGCAUGAUGAUCUGGCUGGUUCAUGCGAUGCAGUAGUCACCUAUUUUUUCAUUGAUAUAGCACACAUUGUUGUUGAAUACAUUGAAAUCAUAUCUAGAAUCCUCAGAGAUGGAGGAGUAAGUUACUCUUGGUUUAUACACUCGAAAAAUUUCAGCAUUAUUUCCCUUCCAGAUUAUAGCCACUCCAUAUAACAUGUUGAUAAAUUUUGUUUGAAUUGGAGGUAUCAUGUUUGUUAUGAUCGCCUCCAUUUUCUUCCGGAGAUUUAUUUUCGUCUAGUUGUGUGCUUUCUUGGUUUAUGACUUAGCAUUGGAACAUCCUAUAUUUUGCAUUUGCUCUGCAUCCUUACCGCAUUGAAAAUAACUUUUUCCUUUGUAACUAUUGGUUAUUAAUAUUAUGAGUUGCAAAUAGAAAGGAUCAUCAAGACAACUUAUGCUACAAACCCUCGAUCCAUGAUGCAAGUAAGUUUUUAUUUCUGAAAAAUGGGUGUGACAGAUAGGAAUCUAAAAAUUGAAGGAAAAAUUUGAGUCUUGUGGGACCAAAUUGUUAUCUGAAUCUUUCAUAUCAUAUUUGUAACAGUCCUAUAUCAAUUUAUAAAAGGAGAGAGGGAAAAAAAGAGAUUUAGAGGUCAAAGAAGGCCCCAGAUCUCCAAAAUUGAACCUAGAGUGUGCAUUUUCUUCAAUCUGAAAGAUAUGUACUUCUCACUGCAUGUAAGAAUAUUGAUGUGCAUCGUGACAAUUAUAUGAUGAUUUGUUUUGUCUAUUGAUAUUUAUGAGGUUGUGAAGCAACAUUGAGGUGGAAAAGGGUUUUAGUAGGAACUCUUUUGAAGCUCAAGACACACCCCAUGAAUAUGUUCAAUGAAAGGACUCUCAAAGGAACAUUCUUUGGAAACUAUAAGCCACAUUUUGACCUUCCAUCUGUUGUCGACAAAUACAUGAAGAAGGUACACAUCGCAUGGAGAAGUUCAUCACACAUUCAGUCACAUUCUAAAAAAUCUUUAAGACUUUUGAAUACAUACUCAAAAGGGAUGGCCUUCAUUGCAUCAUUCGAAUGGAAGAGUGAAAUUUGAAGAAGCAAAAAGAAAUAAAUUACUUGUUGAUGGUUGAGUCAGCUCAAUUGGGUUACCUUUUUUGAAGUUUCAUGUAUCUGGUUUUUUUCUAUUUCAUGAGGUAUUUAACCUCCUUGUAUCUUUCCAGUGGUUUGUAAAUGAUUGUAAUUGGUCGUUAUUUAAUUAAUUGUAAUAUUUUAUGAAUGAAAUUCUCUGA